UACGAAGGGGGCAAGCGUUGCUCGGAUUUAUUGGGCGUAAAGGGUGUGUAGGUGGUCCUGCAAGUUAGAUGUGAAAGCCCCGGGCUUAACCCGGGAACUGCAUUUAAAACUGCUGGACUUGAAGAUCACAGAGGUAAGCAGAAUUUCCAGUGUAGAGGUGAAAUUCGUAGAUAUUGGAAAGAAUACCAACGGCGUAGGCAGCUUACUGGGUGAUACUUGACACUGAGGCACGAAAGCGUGGGGAGCAAACAGG
rnacentral:rRNA from 1 species